GACGAACGCUGGCGGCGUGCUUAACACAUGCAAGUCGAGCGGAGCGGCGGACGGAUGAGUAGCGCAUUAGUAACUGCCCCCCUCCCUGGGAUAACAGUUGGAAACGGCCACUAAUACCGGAUAUGGGGGGAUGACUCGCGUCCUAUCAGCUUGUGGGUUGGGUAGUGGCCUACCAAGGCGACGAAGGGUAGCCGGCCUGGGAGGGGGACCGGCCACAUUGGUCUGAGAUACGGCGCAAACGGCUACGUGGCACAGCUGUGGGGAAUAUUACGCAUUGGGGCAAACCCUGAGUCAGCAACGCCGGGUGCGGGAUGUCGUUCUUCGGGUUGUAAACCGCUUUCAGCUAUGACGCGGUAGUGGCAGAAGAAGCACCGGCUAACUACGUGCCAGCAGCCGCGGUAAUUC
rnacentral:rRNA from 1 species